AGCUGCAAGCAAUGACCAUGAAGAAGGGGCUGGCAAUGUCUAUAGAAAUCUCUCUGUCCUCUGGACUUUUGCUGGGUUAACAUUUCCUGCUCCCUGUUGAGCUCUUUAAUUAACAGCUCUUGCCCUGGAGCUUCUUGACUCAGUUUCUGCUCUGACUUUGGCUCCUAUGCCAGUGUUUUUAAGUUUAGCUGUAUCUGCUUAUAAUGGGGUAACAAGAUCUGAGCCUCAGGAGUAAUAAAACUGGUGUCCAUUAAAAAAAACAGAAUCUGUAAAAUGAAGAUCUGGUGUGUGUAGCAUGAGACUGCUACAGAAGAAUGCCACUAGGAAGUUAAAACAGAUGUGGUGCAAACUUAACUUCCUGGAAGAUGGUGACUCAGGAGAAUGCUUAGUUCAGAGCUCUGCAUUCCUUUUCCCUAAAGGUUUACUAUUUCUCCUAAAGACUCACUUUUUUCAUGAGGUUUUUCAUGAGGUUUUCCUGUGAUACUUGUUGACAUCUGUCUAGAUAUUGCCGGUCUUGGGGGAGUGUUUUGUUGUUGGAAGGAAUUCGUUGAAUGUAAGCAGUGGAUAAGGACGCUGUGUGUUGAUAACCCAUUGCAAGUAAGCAGGCAAUUUUUAUCCUUCAACGGAACGGUUCACCUACUUACGCUGAAGUGAUUUUCUUCAUCCUGGAAGCUCACAGUUUCAACUUGCAAUCUUAUCAGUGUCCAAAACCGAGUGUAAAUAAUUUUUGAGCUCCAGAGACACAGCCUUUAAUUAUUCUGACCUUUGGUGCCUGUUGGAAUCGAUGCAGAAACGUGAAUGAGAACUUUAAAUUUAAAGUGAUAACACCAACCCAACGACAGUAACAAGAUAAAAAGAUGUACUAUUGUUUCUAUGUCUUAGGAAUUCAAAAGAAUAGAAACCUAAGGCCUGAGCUAUAACCUGGAGAGAGAUAAUAAGAGCUGGAAGGAUAGAACUAGAAUCUGAGAGAAGUAAGACAGAAAUUAACAUCGAAGGUUGUGGUGGGACCUGUGAUUGAAGUUAAAUUGAGGUGGAUUAUUUACUCCAUAGAACUGCUGUUUCAUAAUCCCCAUUGCAGCUGUCUUCUAUUAAUUUGUAUUUAUUAUCUGUUAAUAAGGGUUUUAAUUUAUUAUUCAAAUGGUGUUAACGAGGCACAACUGUAAAGAUCUGGGCAUCACUCAAUGUGAAUGAGAUGAGCCCCUUAGUCCUCAACAAAUAAAGACUAUCUAGCCUGCCCCACUUAAGCAAGAUGAGUGCUGUACCCGGGAGUUACUACAGGAACCGUUAGUGCCUCCUGAAUCUUCCUUGGAUUGGUCAGUGGAUUAUAAACUGGGAACUUUCCAUCUAAGUGGAAACUCUUCUUCUCAAAAUCUAGCAAAUGAAUUAAAGGAUGCAGCCUUUUAUUUCCCAUUGGAUGGGGGUUUGUCAUCACGUGUGAUGGAGACGUUUAGAGAAACAGAUCCCCAAGUG